GGUGGUUCUUGGGUGACACAUCCAGAAUCGAGCUCCCUCCUCUCUGGUUCCAGGUGUGUCACCCGAGAACCGCA
rfam:Myotis brandtii contig233619, whole genome shotgun sequence.